GAACGCUAGCUACAGGCUUAACACAUGCAAGUCAGGGGCAGCAUGAACUUAGCUUGCUAAGUUUUGAUGGCGACCGGCGCACGGGUGAGUAACACGUAUCCAACCUUCCGUUUACUCAGGGAUAGCCUUUCGAAAGAAAGAUUAAUACCUGAUAGUAUGGUGAGAUUGCAUGAUAGCACCAUUAAAGAUUUAUUGGUAAACGAUGGGGAUGCGUUCCAUUAGGUAGUAGGCGGGGUAACGGCCCACCUAGCCUGCGAUGGAUAGGGGUUCUGAGAGGAAGGUCCCCCACAUUGGAACUGAGACACGGUCCAAACUCCUACGGGAGGCAGCAGUGAGGAAUAUUGGUCAAUGGGCGGAAGCCUGAACCAGCCAUGCCGCGUGAAGGACUAAGGCCCUACGGGUCGUAAACUUCUUUAGACGCAGAGCAAUAAGGUCCACGCGUGGACCGAUGAGAGUAUGCGUAGAAUAAGCAUCGGCUAACUCCGUG
rnacentral:rRNA from 1 species